GAGCUCGCCGCUGGUCGAUUCGACCCCAUGGCUAGCUCAUCAACAUCAAUGCGCCAGAGGGUGGCGGGUCUCCGCUCAUUUUUUGCCCAAAUUGAGGAUGGAGGAAGGUGGUAGAGCACGAAUCAUCCACUCCAGCGAACCCCGGUUGCAUCUUGUACACAUGCCGAAGUCACAAGCUAUCGAUUUUGGUUCUGGGAGGAAGACUACGACAAGUAUCUGAUGAGGAAGGGCUACAUUUCUGAGAAAGGAUGAACUAAAUCCAAGAGGAGCUGUGAGGAAUUGAAGGGAGUAUGUGGUCAAAUGCCAAAAGUGAUAGAAUUGAUCAUAGUUUCAAAGGAAAUAGCUAGAUUGUUAAAGGCUAUCCUUGUUGUAUGCGUGUGUAUCUUGUGUGUUUUGUGGAUGUUGCUGUCAUAUCAGGUCAGCAAGUGAAAUCUCCAGGGAAAUUAUAAUGGAA